rnacentral:rRNA from 1 species
UACGACUACAUAUCAGGCAUAUCAAUAAGCGGAGGAAAAGAAGCUAACUAGGAUUCCCUCAGUAACGGCGAGUGAAGCGGGAAGAGCUCAAAUUUGAAAUCUUCAAGGUUCUACCUUGACGAAUUGUAGUUUAAAGAAGUGUUUUCUGUUGGAGUUUUGGUAAAAGUUCUUUGGAAUAGGACAUCAUAGAGGGUGAGAAUCCCGUAUUUGACCAUUAUUUCCAACUUUGUGAUACACUUUCAAAGAGUCGGAUUGUUUGGGAAUGCAGUCCAAAAUGGGUGGUAAAUUUCAUCUAAAGCUAAAUACUGGCGAGAGACCGAUAGCGAACAAGUACCGUGAGGGAAAGAUGAAAAGAACUUUGAAAAGAGAGUUAAACAGUACGUGAAAUUGUCAAAAGGGAAGCGUUUGACACCAGUGUUGUUUUCUCGAAAAUCAAUUAAAAUGAUGGGAUUUUGUGUUGUAUUGACUUUAUCAGCUUUCUGCACUUUUUUCCUAUCUUUUUUAAUGCACUUUUCGUUUAACAAGUCAAGCAUCAAGUUUCUUUUGUUGUAAAAGAGUCAUUGGAAGGUGGCUUUCUUUUCGGAGAAAGUGUUUAUAGCCUCUGACUUCUGCAAUCGGAGAGAUUGAGGUCUGCAGCGUAGAUCCUUCGGGGUUAGAUAGCAUUUGUGCUAAGUUAUAGCUUUUCAUAGACAACAUGUUGACUAUGAUUAAGUCAUGUAGCUUACUCGCUUAUGUAAUUUUACCUACGCUUAGGAUGUUGACGCGCGUGUGUGCGUGA